rnacentral:rRNA from 1 species
GACAGGGGUCCCGAGCGUUAGGCGGAAUCACUGGGCUUAAAGCGUGUGUAGGCGGCGGCCUAAGUACCUUGUGAAAUCCCACGGCUCACCCGUGGAACUGCUCGGUAUACUGGGUCGCUUGAGCCACUUAGGGGCUACCGGAACAAAUGGUGGAGCGGUGAAAUGCGUAGAUAUCAUUUGGAACGCCAAUGGUGAAAACAGGUAGCUGGGAGUGUGCUGACGCUGAGACACGAAAGCCAGGGGAGCAAACGGG